UACGUAGGGUGCGAGCGUUGUCCGGAUUUAUUGGGUUUAAAGGGUGCGUAGGUGGAUUGGUAAGUCAGUGGUGAAAGUUUGCAGCUUAACUGUAAAAUUGCCGUUGAAACUGCCGGUCUUGAGUGCAAAUGAGGUAGGCGGAAUGUGCCGUGUAGCGGUGAAAUGCAUAGAUAUUACACAGAACACCGAUUGCGAAGGCAUCUCACAAAGCCGUUAUUGACGCUGAGGCACGAAAGUGUGGGGAUCAAACAGGAUUAGAUACCCU
rnacentral:rRNA from 1 species